GGGUUGUGAGGUUAAGCGACUAAGCGUACACGGUGGAUGCCCUGGCAGUCAGAGGCGAUGAAGGACGUGCUAAUCUGCGAUAAGCGCCGGUAAGGUGAUAUGAACCGUUAUAACCGGCGAUUUCCGAAUGGGGAAACCCAGUGUGAUUCGUCACACUAUCAUUAACUGAAUCCA
rnacentral:rRNA from 7 species